GACGCUCCCUCCCAUAGAGAAUGAAUGACUUCCGGUCGCUUUGACGCUCUCGCCGCUCGCAAUGUGAACGUAGCAUAAGGGUACAAUUGAGGGUACACCCCCAGUGACAAGCAAAGGUACUGUGGUUUAGGCUGCACGAUUCCCUUUUUUUUGUUAAGAGGACAAUCCAAGAAUCUGGCCUUAAAUGUCUACUCCAGGAAAAGCUGCCUGGUCCUCAGCUGGUUUAUUAGAACAUCCGACGACAGUAGCAGUGGAUUUUAUGACCUGUACUGAAUUAAUACAGCCCACAACUUUGAUUUUUGAACUUGAACAAGAUUAAAAUGGACACCCACAUUGUGGAAUAUAAACUGAGAGAAGUUACCGAUAGCCAGCCCAUCUAGGACUGCAUGAUUCUCAGACAAGGUCAGAUCUCAUUUGUGGUGUAUAUGUCUUGUCGUGGAGUGGCAUCCCAUUCAGACAACACGCCUACCCUACCCAACCCAGCCCAUCUACUAGGUGACUCACCAAGUGUUUCCCUCCCCUACCAGACGUGGCUUUUUCUCCCUGGGAAGCUGAAUGUCCAUAAAUACAAUAUAUCUUCUGAUAUGGAAUUUCGAGAUACACUUAAUAUAAUGUAUUCCCAGCCAUAUUAAGUGCAUUUAGGGCUUUAGUAAUGGCUGUUGUAGGGCACAGUCACACUGAGUAGUCUUGCAACGCUCUGGAACACAUCCUCCCCCAGACUGAGAGUGUGACCCCUCCCACUGUACCCCCAUGAAAGAGACUACACUAUGUUCAAUGGCAUUCUCGGGUGACCUCAAAAUAGUCCUUGGAGUACAAUGAAACUGGCCUACAGGCUAGUUUGCUACUACAUACAGUACAGACGGAUCAAUAAGCAGUCUGCAUGUCUUCUGAUCUUUUUGGGACUUGCAAGAUAAUAUAUUCCUUAUAUGAAUUUCACUCAGCUGUGUCUUUGUCAGCAUAGGAAGAAUACUUUGUUUAACUAGCCCCAUACACAUAUACACUUUUUAAAGCAAUUUCCCAGGAAUGUUGGGUUCUUCGGAGAUUUUUCCCCUUUCCCUGACCCAGCUUGCAAAUUCUUGAUAGGUUGCUGCCAUUGCAAUCUUAGCUUGAAUUUCUACAGGCAUUUCAUGUGUGCAGCAAUAUAGCAGAACCGUUUUGUUUAUGAACACCGUUGUAAGGUUGAAAUGCUCAUUUACUAUUUUCCAUGAUAGCUUAGCAGUCAGCAAAUAAAAUGAAGUAUUUUACAGAUAAGCAAGUGUCAUACCAUUAACAGGUCAACCCAUCCAGCUUGGAUUCCUGGAGCUUUAUCAUAACAGACUUGCACUCUGUCUUUUACAAUGUGGAAAGCAUUUAUGAUCUUGAAUGUGCUAUGUGGAUAUUAUCUAGUUGAUGUCCACUUUCUAGAUUUGGUUGGUUGGUUACACAAAAAUCCAUUAUGUUCAAACAAAUUACAACUGCAGGUAGUUUAUUUACACUUACUAUAUGCUUUGAAUGCCAAUGACAGCUGUACAUACAUGCAUGAAACAAUGUUGCAACAUCCCAUUUGAUAGAAAUAUGUUUUAUUUUACUAUAUGAGGAUGUCUGAAUAAAGCACAGGAUUAAAACCA